AGAAAUGAACCCCGCUAAUGAUGCGUUGUGGCUGACAGCACAGGUCCUGAAGCCUCGCAGAGUCGUGACUAGCUCUGGAUCCUGCCACUUACCAGCUGGGUACUUUUAGAAUGGCUUUAACCUCUCUAAGCCUCAGUUUUCUCAUCUAUAAAGUGGAUUUGGGGAGGACACCUUCAGUCCCUGACAGCCCCUAAAUAUAAACCCUCAGCUUCUCUUCUAUACACUUACCCGCAUACAUUUUGCUUUUGUUGGUUUGUGUCUUGCAGCGGUGUGUAUGCCAGGAAAACCCUGCCCUGCCCCUGCCCCAACCCACGCAGCCAGGAACAGAGUCGCAUCAGCACCCCCCUGGGAAACAGCAUCCCCGAGAGGCCGAUGUCCUCCGUCCCUCUCACCGGUGACAGCCAGACGGACUCCGACAUCCUGGCAUUCAUCAAGGCCAGACAGAGCAUUCUGCAGAAGAAAUGUUUGGGAAGCAACUGAAUUCCCAGUGAGGCUCCGGCCGUGCACUGUGGCAGCAAGAAUGAAGUACAGACGAAGGCACCGCCCCUCACUUGCUCUGGCUUCCAAAGUGGUCUGUGGGCUGCUGGGAGCACCUGGUGACUUUCACUCCAAUGGAGAGGGCUGUGUGUCCUUAAGGAUGGUGCCUGGAGGCCACCAGAGAGGCUGGGGCCAGGGCUGAUGGUGACAUCUUCCCUGUGGUUGCUGGGGCUGCCGAGAUGGCUGGGCAAUGCCAGGGCUUCCGCUCACUAUUAUGGUGAUGUUCACAUAGAUAAUUAUAAAGUUUGGAGAUUAGGAAAUAGUACCAUCAUAAUAUAGUGACGGGGGAAGCUCACACUGGUGGAAUGUGGGGGGAAUAACAAUCAGUUAUUUUUAGCUAUUUACUACUGCCUAUUCUCUUGGCCCACCCCCUGGUUCAGAACCCAAGAAUGGCAGGGACAGGACAGGCAGGGUGUCUGAGCCACGGGCAAAGCAGUGGAAUGCAGGACGUCUUCAGGGCUACUCUCAGUCUCCCAGGCCAAAUCCUCCCCCGCCGCCCGCAUGGCCUGCAUGAGCUGUAGGCAUUUCUGAGUGGCCGUGUCUCCACGGAGCCAGCCACCCCGCAGAGUCUGGACAUCGCAGCAUCAGAGAAUAGUGGACAGUGGGCAGCUCCCAGGAGCUCUGCAGAAUGCUCGAGAGAGGGCAGCAUGGGCACCUCGGGGCUUGCAACCUUUACCUAGCCACGUGGGGCCUCGCAGGAUUUGGGCCAACACUCCCCACUCCCACAGAAAAACACAGCUGCCCAGGGGGCUUGUCUCAGUGGGCCCUGCCAACACUCCGGGCACUGGCUCAGUGACACGAUCCAGGGGAAGGGGGGCCUGCACUCGAGGAAGCCCUGGGAGAACUGCCCCCAGGUCAGGGGGUUCCAACCCAGCUGCAGCCGGGGAGGAGCAGUGGCGGGAGGGAGGGGAUGGCACCUGGGAAUGACGCUAACCGAAUAAAAGUGCUUGUCCACUGCUCCUGCCAUCUCUGUCCUAUAGAUACAGGACCUCAUGACCCUGGAGGGGGAACAGAGAGUUGAUGCAGUAUAAUUGGCUUGGGUUUUUUUUUUUAUAAUUGGCCUUUUUUGUUGUUUUUCCUUUUUUAGUACUGGGUAAAGGGAUCACACAGAAGAUAAAAUCAUUACAUUUCAAAGCUAGGCAGGCCCAAAGAGCUCCUCUAGUCCACACCCCUAGUUUUUAUAAUUAGAAGACUGAAGCAAAGGGGAGGUUGGCUUGCUGUUACACACUAGUUAGUGGCAGAUGUCCCCUACUCUGGUGGCUUUCCCUGACCACCCCAUCCAGAGUAACCCCCUAGUUACUCUCUAUCUCGUUACCAUUCUGUUUUCUUCAUCACCCCCUGACAUAUCAUCUUUCUUUACUUGCUUAUUUUUUCAAUGACCUGCAACCCC